CCAAAAACGUAAUAUGAAUAAUCCAGGUUUCACUUCAAACAUUUUUAAAAGUUUUAUUUGUGUUUAUUUUCUUAGCAAUCAAGAAAAGUUCAACGUUGCCUCCACCAUUUAAAACAUUUGCUUACGGUAAUAUUGGUUGUUACUAAUUUUAUUACUAUAGUAUAUGCUUCAUAAAUAUCUGCUAACCAUGCAUGUAGAAAUAUCUUUAAAAAGUGGAAAAUGAAACAACAGUUUGUGAAUCCUAAACUAAAAGUGUAUAAGGCAGUUAGUUAUUAAUUAAUAAUUGUUUUUGUUUGUCACACAAUGUUUAUUUGCCUUGCUGCUACUAAUUUGCAAAGUACAAAUUUGUCAUGGUCAAUCAAUUAACCCGGCCAAUAUAUGCUAUCACAGUUACGAUUAUUUUACUUUCAGUACAUUUACUAUCUACUAAAUUAAUACCAUAAUAGUUGGGUGUUUUAUGCAAAUUUGUGUUUACUGGGCCAUAUAAAAGAAUCCAAUUGGAAUUGAAAUUUGGGCCAAUUUCCAAUUGGAAUGAGUUUUUCUGUCCGAAGUUCAAUGGAUUGCAAUAGGAAAAUUUAAAUUCCUAUUCGAUUUCCAAUUGGUUGAUCCAACUGGAAUUUGGGUAAAUUUUAAUAGAAAUUCCUGUUGGAAUUCCAGUUGGAUUGUUUAUUAAAAUUAGCGAAGCAAAUGAUAAAAUGAAAUAUUGAUGAUCUUGCCUUGUCCAGUUUUUCUUCCCAUGUCAAUGUGACUCAUUGGGCCUAAAAAAAACAUGUGGUUCCGGUUUCAUAUCGUGAAAAAAUUAGAGUCGGUAGGUCGGAAAUAAAUUUUUUUUUUAAUAUUUUUUUUAUGAUUUUGGCGGUUUUUUGAUCGGUAGAGUCCCGACAUCAAUAUUAACUAGAGGUGCGUAUUUCCUAUGGACGGAUUUAGGCAAUUUGGUCCAAUAAUUAGUGUGACAACAGACGCCAUUUUGGCACGCUGUAUCAGCAGCCCGCAAGCACCCGGAGAAAAUAGGGUCGCACGGUCAAUCGCGUUGAAAAAAUAAUAGGGUCGAUCGGGAAAAAAAUAGGGUCGGUCGGGAACCGGAACCACAGGUAUUUUUUUAGGCCUUGUUUCCAGUUGAACUUUAAUAUAUUCACAGGUUUUAAGGUACAGUAUGUUUUAAAUUAUAGACACAUUGAAGAUAGAAUGCAAAGCUCAUGGUUUCAAGGUAUUUUUUCUUUCUCAGUUUCUGCUGUACAAUUUGUACUGUUUGUAAAUUGUCGGAGUAUUGACUAGUAGAAUUUAAGUGGGUUUCAAAAUACUAUCAUGAUCUUGAAUUUUUUGUUUCUCACCGGUGUUGUGCACUCAUGUGAAGAUAUAUGUUUGUGAUGUUGUCUCUGAGUGUGUCCACACUGAGUAACCUGAAAAGUUCGCUUGACCGCAGCGGGAAUCGAACCCGCGAUCUUUGCUAGUCCAGUGUUCGGUUCGAGUGGGUUAUAUUUCGGAACUCAGUCCAGUUCCUUCGAUAUCAGUAUGUUUUUACGAUCUUGAUUUUUUGUUUAAAGGUGAUGUAAAGUCUGUUCUGCGCAUACGUUCUGCACAGGCCUACAUUCCAAUGGUCGGGACCCGACCAUUGGAAUGUUGUUGAUAUUUCGCACCUUCCGAACUUUCUUGAAUUGAAUUUCUGGUCUGUUAUUAUUACUGUCUGAAUUUAGAAGCAUAGCGAACCAGAAGAGUGUUAAAAAUUCAGUAUAAUAUAUAAUAUCUAAUCAUAUUUUACAACUGUAGCACUGAGUUCAAAAUGUAAACAAAGCGUUUGUUUACAUUACGGACUUUACAUCACCUUUAAAACAUAGUGGUAUCGAAAAAAACCCAUGGUUAAUUUAGGUACCAAGCCCCAUAUAAUCAUUAGUCCUGUGGUUCCGGUUUCAUAUCGUGAAAAAAUUAGGGUCGGUAGGUCGGAAAUAAAUUUUUUUUGAAUAUUUUUUUCAUGGUUUUGGCGGUUUUUUGCUGGGCGAUUUGCAGUAGAGUCCCGACAUGAAUAUUAACUAGAGAUGCGUAGUUCCUAUGGACGAAUUUAGGCAAUUUGGUUCAAUAAUUAGUGUGACAACAGACGCCAUUUUGGCACGCUGUAUGAGCAGCCCGCAACCACCCGGAGAAAAUAGGGUCGCACGGUCAAUCGCGUCGAAUAAAUAGGGUCGGCAGAAAAAAAUAGGGUCCGUCGGGAACCGGAACCACAGGUAUUUUUUUAGGCCUUAAAUGAAAUGUCAACUAUUUGUUAUUCAACAGUCGAUCCUAAUAAGCAACAUUAAUAAUAAUGAUUAUUUUAUGUGAAUACUUAUUAUUUAACUAUUAUAUUUAGUUUGUUAGUUUUAUAUUUUUUUGUUAAAAAUUGCAAAAUAUAAUAUGUAUUGUAUUGCAUCUGACACCACGAGUUCGAACACGAACACAAUUGCAUAUACAAACAUAUGUAAAUGCGUACUAGAUAGUGGGAGCCUCGUAUCUCAGUACGCGAUUUGUACUGCAUGAGUGCAUAGUCGAACAUUGGUUUGAAAAUUGUAUUUUGUUUAUUAUAUUAUAGACCAGCGAUCCUUUAAUCAAUACUGAAGAUGAUGACAAGUUGAUGUUGAAUGCAUAUAUAUCAUUACGACACAACGGCAUUGGUAAGCAACAGUAAUUCUCUUCUGCCGAAUUCGUCUCAUUAGCGGUAACGUAUAUAUGAGCAAUGCCUUGCAGGUUGCAUACUGUAAUACGAUCGCUGUGCCAAACGAGAAUGUACAUGCAUGUAAUGAUGUAAGAGUUAUACCUCAAAUGUAUCUUUACCACGUGUUUGGUUUGUGACUACAGGCAAUAUUUUUUCUAACAACAGUUAUCGCAGGAUUUUUCAGGAUGAUAUAUGAAACAUUUUUGUUCUGCCUUGGAUUGAUGGGCAGGGUGCGAUAAUUCGCGUACCAACGUACCGGAGGUACGCCAAAUUUAUGGUCUGGUACUUCUUUGUUUUUAGGCAAGUACCACGUAGGUACGCAGAAAUUUGCUAUUCGCAUACUUACAUUUUCCUUCUAGCAAUAACUAGCAGACCUGCCAAAGUAUUCAAAAAGGUGAAUAACUUUAGCUGUACAUUUUUUCGCGAUAUGAAACCGGAACCACAGCCACAGGUAUUUUUUAGGCCCAAUGAGGAAAACUACACUGUAUGUAGCUGAGGUCAGACUGUUAGCACCCUCGGUAAAUCCACUGUAAAUGAGUCACAACGUCGAGUCACAACGUCGACGCUUUGAAAACUGUUAUAUUAUGUUGUACUAAUACCAUAAUUAAGAUUCAUUUGUACAAAAUUGCCCAUACAUUUUUUGCUUUUGGACCAGUAAACUAUACGUAGGUAUAAAAACGCAUAACUCGGAAGUAGUCUUAGGUACGUCUUGACUCUUAAGUUUGUACCAGACCAGGUACGCGGCAAAAGUUGUCGGAAUACCAGUCAGGUACGGCUAAAAGUAUUGAAUUAUCGCACCCUGGAUAGGGAUGUAACUACUUGAAAAAUACAAGGAGAUCUUCGACGUUUCGACGAAGGGCGUGUUUGCUCGAAACGUCGAAGCAAGGUACAGUAGCUGCAUCCCUAUCAAUCCAAGGCUUUUUUACAUUUUUGUCCUGCCCAUCACGUCAAAGAUUUAGUAUCAUGGUUUAUGAGAUCCAGCAACUAUACUAAAAUACACCAAUAUAGGCAUAUAGCACCAGGAAAUUCGCUACAGGUCCUCAAUUACGACUAUCCCAUAAAGAAACUACAGUAGUUACUAGACAACAAUUACAAGUUUAAAGUAGAUUUUUAUUGCCGACGUUUUUAACUUUCUUGACAACCAAUCCCAAUUAAUUGAAUCCAGGUUGGUCCAGGUGAUUUAGAUUACGAUAUUUUUGUCUUUUAUUUAUUCUGCUAAUAUUUCCAGAACACGAAACAGAAAUCUCGUACUUCAAGAAAGAAGAUUAUCUCAAGUAUAAAGCCAAUAAGGAGAUCAAGUGGUGACAGACCGAUAUAGAAUAUGAGUUAAUAGCGAUUUUGACUGAUCGCAUGAUGCCAUGAUCGUAUAUAUCAAGGAAUCUGUACCGCAUACUCAAAUUACAAAAUUUCGCCCGAGACAUACUUUAUAAAUUAUAAGACCCUGGUUGCAGAGUAUACGUUUGCCGAAAUUGCGUUGCAGGAUGCAGCGCUUCAUAAAAAAUCACAAGAGAUAACACGUUAAAUGUUAUUCAUUCGCUUGGGAAAAUAUGAACUAUACCUGUGGCUCAAUGACAUUCUGCAAGCAGUUUACAAGUUUAAAAAAUUAAGGCUACAUUACCUGAGUGAGUUGUAAUCUUAUUUCUUCAACAAUAGUUUCAUAUUUCUUACGAUUUUGGUGUUGUAUAGACGUUUUGUAGCCUUGUUGCUUGGUUGUUUUGGCCGUACAAACUACAACAAAACAAAUUAGGUUUCCUUUUCCGAUUGAUCCCAGCAUCUUUUACGUUAAAUAUCACGUUAGGGACCGGUCAUAAAGUAACUGCUAGGGUGGGCCGGAGUGAUUUGGGAUAGGCCAUGAAAAAUCUUUGGGCAGUUUGGAUGGGCCGCCAGUUAUUUUGUAUGUCUACGGUUGGGCCACCAAACAAAAACCCAUAUCUACUUUCAUCCAGGGGCGUAGGAAGCCAGGGGGGGGCCUCGGAGAAACCAUGGUGGCGCCUAGUGGGAGUCGUCCCCCCUAACUUUUACAAGCUUCCCUGCUUUCAUCACUUAUUAUGAUAAAUAUAAUAGCAAAUAAGAUUUUAAAAUCAAACAUAAUACAAAUUUAACCGGGCUGUACACUGCACAGAGGGCAGCAGGGGCAAUCCCCCCCCCCCACACACCCUAAAAUUUAACUAAUUUUAUAAUGUGAUUAUGCUUGUAACAGAUAAUUAUGCAGUCAGGAAAUAAAAAAUUCAUGCAAACAAUAAGUGUCUAUACAGCCGACUAUUUAGUAAAUUGUCACUUGUCAAUCCAUACUCAUCGAAUUUUUAAAAUCUUUAUUGUGAUCAUAUGAAGCAAAAGUUCUGUCACUUGUUGUUUACACUUGCCAAUGUUAACUGUUGAGUAACAUACACACUAUUCAAGGAACAUGCAUUACUGUAGCAAAGAGUCAAUCAUAUAUCGAAGACCAUGCACUGAAUAGUAGAGAAUGUUUUGAAGGUCAUGAGUGAAGUAUAUAAUUCCAUUCCAACCUUGUGCACAGUUAAUGAUAUACCACACUGUUCAGUUUAACUCAGCAUAUCCACACAAAAACAAUUUGUGUUGUGGGAGAAUAAUGAAUAUCUGUUUGAGUAGAAGGUAUCACAAGUUUAGUUUUGUACAUUAUGUGCCAUUGAUCUGAUUCAUCCAUAUAAUAUAUGAUUAUUGUAGCUGUUAAGUUAUUUUCCAUACUGAUGAAUUUAGGUAAGAUUGUCUUGCAAGUGGGUUGUUCUGACAAAAUUAUCCAGCCAAUAUCCAGUAGAUCAGUACAUGUAUUCAUCAUUCUUGUAUUAAUCUCUAAACAAAAACAUUUAUAUUAGAAAGCAAAAUGACAAUGUAAUGAGGAGGGAGGGUAGAGAUUCUUUUAUUAGCAUUUGAAAAUGGUUGUAGCAAUUUUGAUUAAUUAACUCUAAUGUGCAAAACCAAAAUGUAUAUAAAGUAUACUUUUAACUGAUGACAUCUUUACCUUUGCGCUAACACUACAUUUGAUGACAACUUAGUUGGACUGUUGUUUUGAACAGAGUUACAGAAAUACAGGACCAGGAUUUAAUUCAGUAUCUCCUGAGAACAUUAGUUUCUUGUGAUAUUGUUAAUUGGCAAUAUAAUGCCUGCAGCCAGAGUUUUGACUGUUUAAAAUAUUACACAAUGAUUGUUUUUAUACUGUUUAAAUGUAUAUAAUAAAAUGUGGUAUUUGGCUACUUACCAGAUGAGGAUAAGUUUCCAUGUUGAUAGAUAACUUUGGAAUAAUAUCACAAGUAGAAUGGUGAAAACAAGACAGCCAAUUCAAGAUAAAAUCAAGAUAUUUUUGAAGCCAAAAUAUGGCAAAGAAUAACACGAGUACACGACUUACACGAGGCCAAACUACGCCCGUUCGCAGGUUAGGUGCGAGCACGAUGUAAACAAUUGAUGUAAACUAAUCGCUGAUUGGCUUAAUUAUACAAGCUCGUCGCUGAAUGGCUGUGGGUAUAAACGUUAAUACUAAUGUGCUUUGCAGAUACAAAAAUAAAGAUAAACACCGGCACUGUAUUGAUAUAUGUUCAUACCUGGAAGUUUUUUUCAUUAUAAAGUGUAUUUUCCCAAUUUAGAUUGGGUGGGUGGGUCAUGAAAUAAAUUUGGUAAGAUUGGAUGGGCUUUGAAAUUUUUAUCUACAUCCUAAGAUGGGUCACCAAACUUAUUGGCAAAAUUUGUGAUUUACCUCCAGCCCACCCUAGCAGUUACUUUAUGACCAGUCCCUUAUAUUUUCUCAGAAGUAUUAUUUCAACUUUCGUGCUCAGUUUUACACAUAAUUUUUUUCGAAAAAGCAAUUCGUUUUUCAGUCAACUUUUUUUAUUUUUUUAUUACUGCUGCACGUAACGUAAUUUUACUAGAAGUAAUUUCGUACUCAAGAGAGGCAUGCUGGGAGAACUGUAACUUGUGACCUAUUGGCCAUUUUAUAUCGAAGCCGAGAAUUUCUGUAAAAACUAUUCGAUGGAAGCAAACUAUUAUUUACUCUGGUGCUAGACUACAGUACACGGGGCACCACAUUUCAACCCUUCCUUUGGCUGUGUGUUACAGAUUCCUUGGAAAUGUGAAUUAACAAAUAAACACUAUGUCGAAAUGUUAUCAGUGCAUAUGGCGCACACUUCGCGAAAUACAAUAUAUGCGAAUUUUGAAAGCCCUUAGAAAGGUUUUGACCGGAAUUGUAAUGUAAUUCAAAUAUGCCUAAAUGUACAGUAUGUUUUCACGCGAUUCGACAGUAUUAUUGGCCGCGCUGUUGGGCUCCUUUGCAUUUGAGCAAAAGUUCUUGAAACAUGUAUACCGUAAAAGCCCCAGCAAAAUAUUGAGUUAAAUUAACACUUUAUGAAGUUCAAAAACUAAAUCCUAGUUUUUCAACUGGAUGUCAUACUUGAAUUUUUUGUGCCAAUGCUUGAAAUUGUAUACUGUAGUAUAUAGUAUCAGAUAUUUAACGAUUACAGUAUUUCAAUUGUAAAUUUUCUCAAGAAAAUUAAAUUAAAUUAAAACUAUUUUGCUCACCAC